GUGACAUGCGUACAUAGGCUACGACUCUUCAGUAUUGCCAGCUCGGGAGGUUUUCAUGACAGCGUGCGUAAAAUGGGUUUAGGCGAGUGGAUUUAUAGAAAUGGUUGAAUAGCAAAAAUAUAAAUUGUGCGGAUUUUUAGAGGAGUCUGCGGGACUGUGGUUGUAUUUUCAAUCAAAUCUUGCAACCCAGCUAUUUCCAAGCGUAAUUUUCAACAUGAAGCGGCAGAAUGUCAGAGCAAACCGUGCGAAGAAGUCGAGAUCACAACGAAGUACGAGCUAUAAUAUCAAGAAAAACGAAAUCCAAUGUAUUUUAAAGACACAAUUAUGCGUUCGGUUUAUUGUCGUCAUAACGGACAAUAUAAAAUAUGUGCGGAGGAUCAACUUGCUUCGCCCCCUAUGUGCGGACAGGCGUCUCCCGGGUCAAAAGGUUGCAAAUAUUGACGUAGGCGAUGGCAGGAAGAUUCAAUAAAAAUGGAUCGGUAUGUGAUCUACCAAAUGGGGGCCAAACAAGACAUCAGUCAGUUCUGUCAACAUCUACCUCCAGUGAGAUAACGGUCACCUCACCUCCGGCCUCCCCUGAGCAGGAAGAUGCACCAGAGGAAGAUCAGUCACCCUUUCUGAGUGCUGAUACUGAUAAUUUUCCGUCAAAACCCACCUCCAUCGGGAUAGCAGACACGCCACCUCAAGCGAGAAAACCCAAAGGCUGUGGAACAUGUUUUCAGAGGAUAAAAACACACAGAGUUAUUGUGGGAGUGGUGGUUCUAAUUGGAGUUUUAAUUGGAGUUUUAAUUAGAAACUUUUACUACUCGGUUCCAACUACCAACCCACACUUGAAUGAAGGAACCAAUGUUACUACACCAAACCCCCUGACAUCAGGCAAUUACAGCCUUCAGACAACGGUCAAAACGGAUGAAAACAACACACAAAAUCCUUACUAUUUCUCACCUGAGAAAAAAUCCUGGAACGACAGCAGACUGGACUGUCUUCAGAGGGGAGGACAGCUGGUGGCAAUCAGCAGCAUGCCAGAACUUAAUUCAAUUAUUCAGAUGGGCAAAUGGAUGAAGAUCGACCAAAUGUGGGUCCAGUCUGAAGAUCGCUGUGCCAAAUUGGAUUUUGAUGAUAAAUGUCUAAAAAAGAAUCUUACAGUUGAAGAAUGUAAUACAAGGAAAGCGUUUGUAUGUAAAAAUGUCAUGAACAGGACUUAAAAAUAUCCUGUAUUUCAUCCGGCCCCCUCCGCCGACUGUCCCGGCCUCCGGCCCCCUCCGCCGACUGUCCCGGCCUCCGGCCCCCUCCGCCGACUGUCCCGGCCUCCGGCCCCCUCCGCCGACUGUCCCGGCCUCCGGCCCCCUCCGCCGACUGUCCCGGCCUCCGGCCCCCUCCGCCGACUGUCCCGGCCUCCGGCCCCCUCCGCCGACUGUCCCGGCCUCCGGCCCCCUCCGCCGACUGUCCCGGCCUCCGGCCCCCUCCGCCGACUGUCCCGGCCUCCGGCCCCCUCCGCCGACUGUCCCGGCCUCCGGCCCCCUCCGCCGACUGUCCCGGCCUCCGGCCCCCUCCGCCGACUGUCCCGGCCUCCGGCCCCCUCCGCCGACUGUCCCGGCCUCCGGCCCUCCGCCGACUGUCCCGGCCUCCGGCCCUCCGGCGGCUCUCCCGGCACCUGAUCCUCUGUAGAUUAGUCAUUGUUUUCCGUUCGUGUUUGGUUUGUUUGUUGUUUAUUAAAACCCACGAACAGAUAUCUGCCUGCGCCUGGUUCCUUCAACACCACACCACGACGAAGUGUUACAACAAGCUGUACACUCUCUACUUUACAUUGUAGCAAAGUGUCAUUUCCUCAGUGUUGUCACAUGAAAAGAUAUACCCAAAUAUUUGCAAAAAUGUGAGGGGUGUACUCAUGUCUGUGAGAUACUGUAUAUUGUACAUUCACUAUUCAAAUGUUGAUAGUGUGUUACCACAUUUUUACUACUUCCCUCAUCUACCCCAGAUCCAUUGACAUUAUCAGAGAGUUUUAUUGCCAAGUAACUUUCACAACAAACAAGGAAUUUGUUCUAUUAAUAAAGUUAAAUAUGUAAUGUGCAAGAUUUGUCCAGUUGGUUGGGUGUGCAAGUUUAUAUAUCAAAUGUACCGAAUAACACAGUGCCAUCCUGCACGAUGAAAUUCUUGUGACAUGGCACCCGACAAAUUAUGAAGAAUAUAAUAAAGCAAAAUUAUAGCAAAAAAAUCUAAUAUAGCAAUAAUAUACAUAAUUGAAAGAGUAAUGUAAACUAGCAGCAGUAUGGGUAGUAUUAUUGAACAUUAUAGAUAUAACAAGUAUGGCAAUAAUAUACAUAACAAUGUAAACUAGCAGCAAUUUAGAAGGAGUAGGAUGAGGAAAAUGCACAAUAUGGGUAGAAGUAUUGAAUAUUAUAGAUAAAUUAGUGUAAUAUGCUUAUGAAUGGGAAUAUUGUAGUGUACAUUGAAAGUGCCUGAAAAGACAUCAGAACAUCUGGAAUGUUCAUGUGUGAUCAGUGUGAUCAUGGAUCAGUGUUGCUGGUUGAGGAGCCUCAUGGCCUGAGGGAACAAUGCUGUACUAUGCUUUGGGAUGCACGAAUCUUCUCGCAUACUAAACUGGCCAGUGGCGUUUUUAUAUGUAAAAUAUUGGUGGGGCACAAACCAUUUCAAAAUAUAGGAUUACAUAGCAGUAAAGCUACAAAACUCCCUCUUGCUAUUUAACACAUCAACAAACAGCGUGGCUUCACAAAACACUUUUAACGACAAAGCGGCUUGCUUCUACCAGGUGUUGUAGUACACAUACACUACUGUUGUUUGCUCCUUGGGGUUUAAGGCCGGGUGUCUCUGUAAAGCACUUUGUGACAACUGCUGUUGUAAAAAGGGCUUUAUAAAUAAAUUUGAUAAAUAAAUUUGACAUACUGGAGAGAGAGAGAGACCUUCUUGUGAGAGACCUUCUCUCUCACACACAUGUAAAUUACCCCUGUCACAUUUACAAACCUAAAAUGUACCAAUGUGUUGAGUCACAGCUGUCCCAUGGUAUUGCGAGUGAAGGUUUUUACCUUUUUCAAGUUGGAAAAGUUCCUCUCUGACUCGGAUGUCGUCAUAGGUGUUGUUAUGAUAAUUUUCAGCAGAGUGACGGUCUCAACAAAAGCCUCCUAGGUUGUUCUUGUUGGAUACAAUUUUAAUAUUGUAUGCAUUUAUUAAUAUUACUACAGAAUUGUGCUAACAUGACUAACCUUUGAUUAACCUCUGUGAGGAGCUUAAUGUCACCCAUACAUAAGGCUUGUGCAAGAACUGACAUUUACUAAAUGCUGAUGUUGUUUCCUAUUAUUCGCUGGCUUUAAGCAAAAAUGUUACUAAGAGUAGAAAUGACCAGACGAACUGUCUGAUGUACUGUCUGAUGUACUGUCUGAUGUACUGUCUGAUGUACUGUCUGAUGUACUGUCUGAUGUACUGUCUGAUGUACUGUCUGAUUUACUGUCUGAUGUACUGUCUAGAAUAAUAGAGCUGUGGUUAAGGGUGAUAAAAUUACAUACUAUACUGUUUCAUUCACGUGUUUCCUGUUUUCGAUGUAUGUUGUCGAGUAGAAAAGGGUCAGACAGGGCAACAUUAAAACAGUCUAAGCACUACGAAGGGAGAGAAAUAGGACAGGGUGUGACAAGGAAGUAUUCAGAUUUGUCUACUGACAAGUAUAAAAUGUAUGUGUUUUUCCAAUUGUAUCAGAGCUCUCAGAUUAAAUGCUUAAGACCAGUUUGCUGUUUCCAGUGUGUUCUUUUGAUUUACAACUAAUACGUCCGAGCCUUUCAACCUCUGACUAGUGAUUUUGAGCCUGACAGUUCUCAUGGAUGGAUCUUAACAGAGGCGUCUUACGGCAGAGUCCAGCUCUGAUGUAGAAUGACAGGACAAAUUGUGCGAAGAGCGAGCUGUCAACCAGCUUGGCAAGCCCAUUCAUCAGUUUCCGCAUAUUCUGGACAUUCUCCUUGAAACGGGUGAGCGCACUGCUAAUCCCAGAUGCAUUGAUGCUCCGUUUUUGCAGAGUGUUGUAUAAAACAUCAACUUCUGACAUAAGGAGGAUUAUUUUUUUGACAGGCCGUAUGCCUCACUUAUGAUGGCCUCAUCCCAUCCUGGUUGUGUGCGUAUGUCCUCCAACCUCUCUGUCACUGUAUUGUCAGGCAACAUGUUUCGCAACACCACCACCAUUUGUGAUAUACAGGAGCCAUCAGUUGUCUCAUCUGCCUGU
rnacentral:lncRNA from 1 species